rnacentral:rRNA from 1 species
UACGAAGGGGGCUAGCGUUGUUCGGAUUUACUGGGCGUAAAGCGCACGUAGGCGGAUCGUUAAGUCGGGGGUGAAAUCCUGGAGCUCAACUCCAGAACUGCCUUCGAUACUGGCGAUCUCGAGUCCGGAAGAGGUGAGUGGAACUCCUAGUGUAGAGGUGGAAUUCGUAGAUAUUAGGAAGAACACCAGUGGCGAAGGCGGCUCACUGGUCCGGUACUGACGCUGAGGUGCGAAGGCUAGGGGAGCGAACGGG